rnacentral:rRNA from 1 species
AUUGAACGCUGGCGGCAUGCUUUACACAUGCAAGUCGAACGGCAGCACGGGUGCUUGCACCUGGUGGCGAGUGGCGAACGGGUGAGUAGUACAUCGGAACGUGCCUAUUAGUGGGGGAUAACGCUUCGAAAGGAGUGCUAAUACCGCAUACGUCUUGAGGGAGAACGAGGGGGAUCUUCGGACCUCGUUCUAAUAGAGCGGCUUAUGGCGGAUUAGCUAGUUGGUGAGGUAAAGGCUCACCAAGGCGACGAUCAGUAGCGGGUCUUAGAGGACGAUCCGCCACACUGGGACUGAGACACGGCCCAGACUCCUACGGGAGGCAGCAGUGGGGAAUCUUGGACAAUGGGCGCAAGCCUGUUCCAGCAAUGCCGCGUGGGUGAAGAAGGCCUUCGGGUUGUAAAGCCCUUUUGUACGGGAGCAAAUCUUUGCGGUUAAUACCUGCUGAGGAUGAGAGUACCGUAAGAAUAAGCACCGGCUAACUACGUGCCAGCCGCCGCCGUAAGAC